rnacentral:rRNA from 1 species
UCCGGUUGAUCCCGCCGGACCCCACUGCUAUCGGGAUAGGACUAAGACAUGCUAGUCGAGCGCCUCCCAGCCACGACGGAGGCGCGGCGCACAGCUCAGUAACACGUGGCUAACCUGCCCUUGGGACAGAGACACCCCCGGGAAACUGGGGCUAAUCCCUGAUAGGUGAAGAACUCUGGAAUGAGUCUUCACCCAAAAGACGCCUAGGCCACGCUUCUAGGCGCCGCCCAAGGAUGGGGCCGCGACCGAUCAGGUUGUUGGUGAGGUAACGGCCUACCAAGCCUUUUACCGGUACGGGCCGUGAGAGCGGGAGCCCGGAGAUGGGCACUGAGACAAGGGCCCAGGUCCUACGGGGCGCAGCAGUCGCGCAAACUUUGCAAUACACGAAAGUGUGACAGGGCUAUCCCGAGUGCCGUCCGCUGAGGGUGGCUUUUACCCAGUCUAGCAAGCUGGGAGAAUAAGGAGAGGGCAAGUCUGGUGUCAGCCGCCGCGGUAAUACCAGCUCUCCGAGUGGUGUGGAUGUUUAUUGGGCCUAAAGCAUCCGUAGCUUGCUGAUCAAGUCCCCUGUUAAACCCAACGAAUCAAUCGUUGGAUUGCGGGGGAUACUGCUCGGCUAGGGGACGGGAGAGGCCGACGGUAUUUUCGGGGUAGGGGUGAAAUCCUAUAAUCCCGAGAGGACCACCAGUGGCGAAGGCUGUCGGCUAGAACGCGCCCAACGGUGAGGGAUGAAAGCUGGGGGAGCGAACCGGAUUAGAUACCCGGGUAGUCCCAGCUGUAAACGAUGCAGGCUAGGUGUUUGGGCGGCCACGCGCCGCUCUAGUGCCGCAGGGAAGCUGUUAAGCCUGCCGCCUGGGGAGUACGGCCGCAAGGCUGAAACUUAAAGGAAUUGGCGGGGGAGCACCACAAGGGGUGAAGCUUGCGGUUUAAAUGGAGUCAACGCCGG